AGCAGAGAUUGGAGUAUCUGUCCAUAGGACCACUUUAAGCCGUACACUCCACAGAGCUGGGCCCGUAUCCUUAAAGAUUCUGAGAAUCCUCUCAGAGAGCUCCUAACUUAACCUAAAAAUUCCUUGCCAGGAGUUUUAGCUUAGAAGUGAUUCCAGAACAUUUUCAGUGAACUCUGAGCCAGGAAUGGAUGAAAAAUCCUAUCUUAGUGAGGAGGUGUGGUUGACCCCGUUGCUAGGUAUGAGUCAUCAUUUCAAAAGCCGUGAUUGGUUGAUCCUACAAGUUUGAUGAAAAUGAACUUUUGGUGAUAAUGAGCAAAGGAUGUACCCUCAAAUCAAUAAACAUAAUUAUACACUCUAAUCUUAUGCAGACUAUAAUUGUAAAUAAUAUUUCACAUUCAAGAAAAUAUCUGGAAAAUGAAUAGUAAGCUGUAGGGGUUAUAGCCUAACAUUAGAAUCUAAAAUAUGUGAAAACUUAAGCUCAUUACACCCUGUUCAAAUAAUGAUUUGUGUCUCAUUUGCUCAUAUUAAUAUCCUAGCUGGCAUAUUUUGUACUUUCACUUCCAUAUGGACCCCAUUGAAAACAAGAUGGCCUAUCUCAAGGGGCUGUCCUUAAUGAAGUAGAAAUUGCAACGUUACAACUCAGUGUGAACUUAACGAGGGUAACACAGCUCAGCUUUUAACAAUGUCUGUGAUUGCUGGCUGGUCUAUUUAUGAAGGCUUGUUAACAAAUAUCCUACAAACACAGAAAAUGGAGAAAAAAAGGAAUCGUAAGCCGAACUGGACUGAGGAGCAAGGUUUGUUGCUGGCCCAGUUGGUGAACGAACAUAAAGGUAUGUUACGAGGAAAAUUUGGCCCAACUGUCACUAGCCAAGGCAAGAGGCGCGCCUGGGACACAAUAUCCCAAACAAUCAAUGCCUCUUUUCCACUGGUGGUGCGGACAGGCGACGAUUGUGAGAAAAGGUGGUAUGUGCUGCAGUCCAAGGCAAAAUAUGAGAUUGCAGCACACAAGCGGGAAUCCUCACUCACAGGUGAGCAAAAUACUAUGGCCUACCACAUAAUCUGGCAAUUUGCUCCUGCUGGCAAAGUUAAUUUACAUGCCUAAGUACUGUGUUCAUUGACUGUUUCUUUCUAGGGGGUGGACCACCUGCAAAGCGGCUGUCCCAGGUGGCCGACACUGUCUUUCAAGUCCUGGGACACUCUGAGGUCAGUGUCACCGGGCUGCCAACAGGCAUUGACACGUCAAUGAUGCAGGCCCUUGAAAUGCAGCAAAGGCCUAUGUAUUUCUGUAGCAUGGAGCCAUCACAAGAACCGGGCCCAUCAAGUUUGCCGCCUGAACCAUCUGCAGCUGCUACUCAGGAUAGCCCGGCGGAUCAAACACCAUUCCCAUCCGCAGCACCUGCUCCGUCAGCAUCCCUGCAGGAGAGAAGAUUGCAACUCACAAUUGAUGUGUUUGAACAACAAAAAAAAGUCCUUUCCCUUCAGGAGGAGUACUACCGCCUUAAAAUUGAACACCUAAAAAAUAAACCAUUUAGAGAUUG